UGUGUCUCUCGCUGGUGCUGGCACAAGAGCUUGGGAUCCGUCUCCUCUUUCGCCUCCUGCACCUUGGGAGCCCCGGGCUACUCUCUCACAGCCCCUGUUGCCCUGUGAUCUGUAGGUCCUUGGGGACGCAUAGUUAAGGUGCCAGGACAUCCUGGAAGCUGGGAAAUGAUUGUUGCAGUGGCAGGACCAAGGUCAAAUGAGUUAUAGCCAAGUCUACAGUAAGAUGUGGCAGUAUUCUGUUUUGAAGCCGG
rnacentral:lncRNA from 1 species